ACAGAGGGUGCGAGCGUUGUCCGGAAUCACUGGGCGUAAAGGGCGCGUAGGUGGCGCUCCAAGUCGAUGGUGAAAGCUCGUCGCUCAACGACGAGUCGGCCACCGAUACUGGAGGGCUCGAGCACUGUAGGGGCAGAUGGAAUUCCGGGUGUAGCGGUGGAAUGCGUAGAGAUCCGGAAGAACACCGGUGGCGAAGGCGGUCUGCUGGGCAGUAGCUGACACUGAGGCGCGACAGCGUGGGGAGCAAACAGGA
rnacentral:rRNA from 1 species